GCAUAGGAUUACAAGUCACUAUGAUCCUGUUCACCGCAGAGGUGUUAUGCAAAUUUACAAUGAGUCUGACCAACUCCCAGACCUGAUGGCUAAAGAAGUGAUAUUAAAUAGUUAUAUUGAUGCUAUCUCUCCAACAAUGUUUUAGAGACAAAAGACGAAAGGGCAGAGAGUCUUUAAGAAGGUGCUUUAUCAGCAUGAUAUUGGACUAUUGCAAUCUACAACUAGAGGACCAGAAUAUGCUUGGAAUUCUGUUAGGGGACAAUAUUAAGUCACGCCAUCCUUUUUCCUGUCUACAUCCAAAAUUUGCAGUGAGGAGAAUUCUUCAAAGGAAGAAUCAAAAGAAGAUCCAGAUUCUGCAUUUUGUUUAACGUGAUGUAGGAUGUUGUUCUACCACUGGCUCCUUCAAACAGAAAGCUCCCAGCUCUACCCACUUCUGCUGAACUGUCUUCACAAAAUAUGGCUGUCCUCGUGAACUGACCUCACUUCUGGGUGCUUUGAAGGGAUCAGCAGCAAGGGGUCCAGGUCAUACCAAAAUCUAAACGCUUCAGAAAUUAGCUGCUUCUCACUCAGCUGAGUGAACAGUCUCACUGAAAAACCUGAGCUGUGCCCAGAAUGAAGUAAUGACCACCAUAUUCUCAGAAGACUCCUUUUUGUGGCAUGCUGAGUUUUGGAGUUGGUUGAUGCUGAGCUACCGAAUCCGUUCAGCAUGAUUUGACCAGCUGAACCCUACGGGGUGGCAGAGCUUGCGACCAAGUAACCCGUUAACGGCGCGGGGCUGAGGAGAGAGCCGACCUGCUUUUGAGGAGGACUCCGACACAAUGCCAGCUUUCGCCCCUUUGAUUUAUUUUCUCUGCGCUUCCCCGCUGCGCGGCUGCGGUCGGAACCCACGCGCGGCCUCUCCUGCCGGCCGCCACCGCGGCGUCUCGGCGGGCACAUGCUGCCACCUAGCGGCUGCGGCCGCGCCGCCCCGCGCCCGCGGGAGCCCCGCAGCCUUUCGGCCCCCUCUGCGCCUCGGGGGGGAGCGGAUGCUCGGGGGGGGACAGCGGAGGGGGUUCAGCAGCCGAGGCCGGGGAGCUGCAGACGGCAAGUGUUUCCCCUCCUGCCCCAGCGGCCGGGAGGACUUGUGCCAGACAGACCGUGUCCCGGACAGAUGAUGUCACUGCUCAUCAGCCCCCUCUUCCCAGUGGCUCUGCACCCCCAUCACUGUGCUGAGCUCCUCUGGGCACCAUGAAUCCUCCCCCAGCACCCUCCUCGCCAGUAAGUUGUCCACCAAAGGGAGCGAGGAGGAUGUGUUUCCCACUAUAUAUUCCUUCUCUGUUUCUUUCUCCUCCUCUUCCUCUGUUUGGCAAGGAUGGAUAAAGAUAAAACCUGAUUUUGAAAGGUUUUUAACAGUUUUUAAAGGUUUUACAAUUUGUAAGUGACACCACCUGUGGUACCCAACUUCAUCUCCCCCGGAUCUGCUUUUCAGAGCUGCUGAUCACUCAGAUCACUGACAGUUUGGCAGCCGUGGAAGUCACACACAAGGCAUGCAGAUGCAUUUAAGCAAAAUCCCUGGAAAAUCAUAUUCUUGAACUUUUAUCCACAGCCACUUCUCCUGUUCUGUCCCUCAUAUAUAAUGGAGGUUACAAGAUAGGACCAGCGUCCCAGUACGUGGCACCACAGUAUCACAUACACCCCAAGGUCUGAGCUGACAACACUGGCUCAGGUAGCCUGCCCCAUCCUGCCCUCUGCUAUUUAGUUCUGCCCUUUCUGCUUCCGCAUCUUCACUUGGCCCCUUGGGCAUGUCAAUCUAUUUUGUAUUCAAACAGACCCUGAAUCUGGGUCUCCAGAAAACUGCACAGCAAGCUGUGCCAGCAUGACUGAAGGGGCAUCAGAAUGCAUCGGGGCAGGAGGAAAGUGAAGAAGAGAUGUCUUAAGCCAUCAGACUACAUCCUGAGGAACACUAUGUCAGGUCACUUGACAGGGGAUGUGUGUGUUGCAUUGGAUUAUGUGGCAGGCUGUCAUGAGGACUGAACAGGGCUAGAAGGACCUUCGAAGUGGCACUGGGCCAGCAACAGCUCAGUACCCAGAGCUCUCUCCAGCUUCAUGACCCAACUUGCUGUCUAGCUGAGCAUGGCAUAGGAAGAGAUGCCAUAUUGUCCCUCUGGGGAGACUGGGGAGAUGCGAGGUGUUACCUUACCUGUGAGGAAGUGUGAGGCAGGAGUCAAACAGAUCAUGUGUCACAGUCAGUGCAGGAGAUCUGACAGUUCUGCGUGACAUGAUAGAUGUCGACUUUACCUGUAACUGUAUAUACACAUGAAACUGUAAUUACUGAUGGGCAAAUAUCCCAAAUAAAACCUCAAAUCUGGGUAA